GUCAGUAUGGCCGAGUGGUUAAGGCGCUGGAUUCGAAAUCUAGUGGGUAUAUCCCUCGCGGGUUCAAAUCCUGCUGCUGACG
rnacentral:tRNA from 1 species